CGUCCCGGUGAACCCGACGUCACGGAGCGACGCAACGUCACGAGCCGCUCGGCCGGCCGGCGCUGGCGGGCCGCAGGGCGCGGCCGAAUCGGAGCGGCUGGGCUCACGGGACCAGGGGGCCGUGAUACGCUCCCUCCGCGUUCAAACGGCCACUCGAACGUCGGGGCUCGGCACCUCACGGCUCUGACGACCAGCCGCCGCGGCAAAAUUCGGACGCGGGCCAGGGGGCCCGCCUGGCCCGCACGGGAUUCGCGGCGAGCCCGCCACUCGGGGCCGCCUGGUGGGCGCCACGCAGACAAAGCCUGGAGGGCCGGGGAGGCCGUGCACGCGCAGCAUCGGCGUCGGUGUCCAGGGCAAGGGCUCAAGCCGAGACCACACGGUCCCUGGCGAGCCCACGGCCCGGUGUGGGGGCCGACUCCGGUGUCCCGCCGCGGUGGGCCGGCCGUGCCAGGCGCCGCAGCCUCCUCUCCCGGAGGGCCUCCCUCGGGAGGCCCCUGCCCCGGCUCGCCCCCCUCUCUGACGCCGUCGUCCGCAGCCAUCGGGACCCCGCUCUCACCGUCGGCGGCAGGUGUGGACCCCGCUCAGGCCGACAAGGAGCGGCUCGCUCGACGGCACCUCCAGAUCGAGCAUCGUCCACCCACCCAGGCAGGGACACAGCGGCGUGGCCACACGUGGAGGGUCACCCGCGCCCGGAGGCUGAGGGUCACGUGACCGAGGCGCACGGUAGCCGGAACGCCGUCAGCAGAGGAACAUCGCGCGCGUCCCCAACAGAUGCGCCAGGAGACAAGACAGGAAGUGCGAGGCCGCACGGAGCACACACCGCCCGGAGACUUCGCCACCCGCUCGCCCCAUCCGCCUCAGUUCUGACCUGUCACUACGGGCGAGAAGUGCGCGCUGGGUCAGUCCCGGUGACCAGGCCCUGCGGGUCCCCACCCCGUGUGCCCAGAGCCCCGCCUACCGCCUCAGUGAAGAUGAGGAAACAAAGAAAGACAGUAGGAAGUUACUAGGAAGUACGGCUGCGUUCGAGCCAACACACCAGGUGCGCGGGGAGGCCAGGCAGCGUGGCCGCGGGAUACGGACGCGCUGGGUGUGGCCGCGCUGUCCCACCAGCGCUCUGAGCUCGGCGCCCUGUGGACGGCCCCGCCGCUCCCGAUGCCGGCACCUCACGGCGGGCUGCGGAGGGAGGGAUGUCGCGCUCACUCACCUCUGCUGCAGACAGAGCCACACGCCCCACAAAUAAAGCCUCGUGCUGUAAAACAGUAUGGUGUCCACCUAAGUGACAAACGUGUCACAAAGGGCACACUAACAAACCCCCAGGUCCCAUCACGGCAGUCAGACAGACCACCAUCUCCCGCGGGAAGGGCAGCUGACACCGGAGACUGACACAGGACUGCCCCCGUCACUCAGCUCCCCGUCACUCAGUAGGUGACCCUGACCUACCGUGAUGAACGUCUCGCUCCCAGGACUCAGGCCGACCGCGGGAAUACGUACACUGAGCCGCAGACUGGUGUUUUGGCAGCAACAGUUCCUAUGGGAAGUGCAGAUCACAGACACAACGCCAAACACAGGACCACACAGGACAGCAUUAAACUGUCCAAACGGAAUCGCAGCCCAGUUGAGCAACCAGUGUCCUGCAGGACGUUAACCAUGUUCAUGGAGAGCUACAGAUUUAAAGCAAAGUAAAAGCCCCAAUCCAAUUAUUUGGAAUAUCGACUGUUUUCAUACUAAUACCAACGUUUAUACCUAGCUAAACG